CCCAGUUGGAGACCGAAGCGAUUGGGUGUCUAAAGAGGGGGGAUCGAUCUGUGGAGGAAAUCAUUUCGCGUCGGAGAGGGAGAGAAGGAAACCCUAGGUAGCCCAGCCGCCGUCCUCGAAUUUGUGCUCGUCCAGAUCUGCUUGGUUGGUGGUGGCAUGGCGAUGCGCACGAUGGCCGCGAACCUGAAGCAGAAGCUCCCCGUCGCCGUCCAGCGGGUGUUCGCGUCUUCUCGGGCUCCGGCAACCUCCAACAAUACUGCUGCCGCCAUCGACAGCCUUGAUCCAGAAUUACGCCGCCGGGUGCUCAACGAUGUUGAUAAGCUCAUCAGGAGGAACCGCAGGAACGACCUCUUGGUCGCUGGUGCUGGCUUAAGUUUUGGAGGGAUUGUCAUGUCAUAUUUGGCUCAUCGACUCACCAGUCGAAGUGAUGACUGGCUCACCAAGUGAAAUGAUGAAUGUAAAUCUAUCCUGCACUGCAAGUUUAACUGUCUAUCCUGCACUGCAUCUUUAACUGGCCAGUUGUAUGAUUCCUGGCUUGUCUUGUGUGAGAGCACUCUAUAUAUGAUGAGGGUUCUAUGUUCGGUGGAAUCUACUUGUGAUGAGAGAUCUAAGUUCUGUGAUGGCAUGUGAGAUGUAAGAGCACUCAUAUAUUUAUGUGGAUCCUAUAUAUAACCGGGUGAUUUAUCUAUUGUGUUCUGCAA